CCUCUUAAUGAUGAUCAUAUUGUCUCCUAGGUUCUUGCAGGUCUCGGUUCUGACUACAACUCAAUCAUCACUUCCAUUAUGACUCAAGUGGAACUUAUGCCAUUGGAAGUUGUUUAUGGGCAUCUUCUAACUUAUGAAC